rnacentral:rRNA from 1 species
UACGUAGGGAGCAAGCGUUGUCCGGAAUCAUUGGGCGUAAAGCGCGCGUAGGUGGCCUCGUAAGUCCGCUGUGAAAGUCCAAGGCUCAACCUUGGAAAGCCGGUGGAUACUGUGGGGCUAGAGUACGGAAGAGGCGAGUGGAAUUCCUGGUGUAGCGGUGGAAUGCGCAGAUAUCAGGAGGAACACCAAUAGCGAAGGCAGCUCGCUGGGACGUUACUGACACUGAGGCACGAAAGCGUGGGGAGCGAACAGG